rnacentral:rRNA from 1 species
CUCUAGCGAGACUGCCGGUAAUAAACCGGAGGAAGGUGGGGAUGACGUCAAAUCAUCAUGCCCCUUAUGUCCUGGGCUACACACGUGAUACAAUGGCUGGUACCAAGGGUAGCCAAACCCGGGCGGCAGGGCAAUUUCCCAAAGCCAGUCUCAGUUCGGAUUGCAGGCUGCAACUCGCCUACAUGAAGUCGGAAUCGCUAGUAAUCGCGGAUCAGCACGCCGCGGUGAAUACGUUCCCGGGCCUUGUACACACCGCCCGUCACACCAUGAGAGUUUNGUAACACCCGAAGUCGGUNGGGUAACCGUAAGGAGNCNGCCGCCUAA